UUUGUGUCGCGNGAUGUUCGGUUAAGUCCGGCAACGAGCGCAACCCACACUUNCAGUUGCCAUCAUUUAGUUGGGCACUCUGGAAGAACUGCCGGUGAUAAGCCGGAGGAAGGUGUGGAUGACGUCAAGUCCUCAUGGCCCUUACGGGUUGGGCUACACACGUGCUACAAUGGUGGUGACAAUGGGUUAAUCCCAAAAAGCCAUCUCAGUUCGGAUUGGGGUCUGCAACUCGACCCCAUGAAGUCGGAAUCGCUAGUAAUCGCGUAACAGCAUGACGCGGUGAAUACGUUCCCGGGCCUUGUACACAC
rnacentral:rRNA from 1 species